AUUCUUUAAAUUAGCUGCAGCUGAGCUGGUUGCAACUAAUGGGUAGCUGCUGUGAGUGUGGUUAUUUCCUCAGUAAGUUGGAAGCAAGGUGGGUUGUGGAGGAUAUUUCUAUUUUCUGAACUCAACAGAGAAAUCCAAACACCCCUCUGUGAAGUGUUUCUGGAGUUUAUCCCCUGCUGAAAGUCUCCUCCAAGCAUUAUUAAGCAAUCAACAGGCCCUCGCAACGUCUUCCCAUUUUAAGCUACCUAAUUUUCUGUUCACAGCUGCAUGUGAAACUUUCUUCUGUGUGCUGGUAGGUAGCAUCAAAAAAAAAAAAAAAAAACACCAAAAAAAUAAACAAACCUGCUUUUGUUCAGUCAUUUUAAUUUCUUUCUAGGUUUCUUCACAGUUUUCCUGUAAACUGUCAUAGUAGCAGAAGUCUGCAAACGAUGCUUCAGUGAGUAGAUGGGACCAUUUUUAAGGAACUUGUUUGCCCUAAAAUGUUCCCUUUUUGGCCUAGCACUACAGUGUUGGAUUAUACACAACCAUAGUAUGGAUACAAGAGACUAAAUAUUCUCAGCAUGAUCACUGGCCAUGGAGUGGGGGGAGAUGCUUGCAUUCAUUAGUCAGGUU
rnacentral:lncRNA from 1 species